UUCGCCCUAGCUGCAGUCGUCUAGAUGUGAGUAGAAAUCUCCUGGGGCACAGGGUACACAGGUGACUGGAGGAUCGCCUCAGGCCUCCCUAUGCCCCAGUCUAGCCAGGCAUCACCACGUGGCUCCUGGUAGUUCCUGAGACCCAAUAAAAACAUACUGACCACACUGAUCGUCAACGGUUGGCAUUGAAACCGGGGCUAUGCCUUGUGCUGAGCAAGCAUUUCCUUGUGUACAACCUGCAGUACCGGGUACAACUCGUGACCACUUUGCAGGAGAGAGGCCCCUGAGCAUUGGGCCUGUGGCAGCCUGUAGUGGAAAACUGCACUACACUGGAUAAAGUGCCAGGCCAGGCUGCAAAAGGCAUGUCCAUCCAUCUCAGCAAAGCUGCAAGCAAGAAGGCCUACUUCCCCUUGUGUCAAGCCUCCUGCUGUCAGCUGGAGGAGGGGGCCCUGGAAUGUGGCCUGGAGACUCCCAGAGAAAGAAGGCUGGAGAAUGCACUCAAGCUGAGAUCUGAGGACAGCGUGGAUCCAGGAAACACUCGUAUGUCUGGGUGUUUAUAAACGGGCCUCCCUUCCAAGUUGCAUCAGGACUUAUUUGGCAAAGAAUGUCAUCCUCCCUGGGGAAGGAGGCAACCCAGAAAUGGGAACCCAUAAGGGAAGUUGCUCCUCCAUAUGGCUCUGGCAUCUUCCUACAUAAAUAAUUGAACUGUUGGAGCUGUGAAAAUGAGGGCAGCACAAACUUUGGAAGACUCUAGUGUGUGGGACCAGGGGUGUGGUCUAAUCAGAGCUUGCAUAUAUGUGACUGAUUUCAACAGUGA